GAUGAACGCUGGCGGCGUGCUUAACACAUGCAAGUCGAACGCUGAAGCUCCAGCUUGCUGGGGUGGAUGAGUGGCGAACGGGUGAGUAACACGUGAGUAACCUUCCCUUGACUCUGGGAUAAGCCCGGGAAACUGGGUCUAAUACCGGAUAUGACCUCCUGUCGCAUGGUGGGGGGUGGAAAGAUUUAUCGGUCUUGGAUGGACUCGCGGCCUAUCAGCUUGUUGGUGAGGUAAUGGCUCACCAAGGCGACGACGGGUAGCCGGCCUGAGAGGGUGACCGGCCACACUGGGACUGAGACACGGCCCAGACUCCUACGGGAGGCAGCAGUGGGGAAUAUUGCACAAUGGGCGCAAGCCUGAUGCAGCGACGCCGCGUGAGGGAUGACGGCCUUCGGGUUGUAAACCUCUUUCAGUAGGGAAGAAGCCUUCGGGUGACGGUACCUGCAGAAGAAGCGCCGGCUAACUACGUGCCAGCAGCCGCGGUAAUACGUAGGGCGCGAGCGUUAUCCGGAAUUAUUGGGCGUAAAGAGCUCGUAGGCGGUUUGUCGCGUCUGCCGUGAAAGUCCGGGGCUUAACCCCGGAUCUGCGGUGGGUACGGGCAGACUAGAGUGCAGUAGGGGAGACCGGAAUUCCUGGUGUAGCGGUGAAAUGCGCAGAUAUCAGGAGGAACACCGAUGGCGAAGGCAGGUCUCUGGGCUGUUACUGACGCUGAGGAGCGAAAGCAUGGGGAGCGAACAGGAUUAGAUACCCUGGUAGUCCAUGCCGUAAACGUUGGGCACUAGGUGUGGGGGACAUUCCACGUUUUCCGCGCCGCAGCUAACGCAUUAAGUGCCCCGCCUGGGGAGUACGGCCGCAAGGCUA
rnacentral:rRNA from 1 species